rnacentral:rRNA from 1 species
CAAGUCGAGCGGAGGGGCAACCCUUAGCGGCGAACGGGUGAGUAACACGUAGGUAACGUGCCUUCAGGUGGGGAACAACCGUGGGAAACCAUGGCUAAUACCGCAUAAUGUCGAAAGAUGAAAGCCUUCGGGCGCCUGGAGAGCGGCCUGCGUCCCAUUAGCUUGUUGGUAGGGUAACGGCCUACCAAGGCAACGAUGGGUAGCUGGUCUAAGAGGAUGAUCAGCCACACUGGAACUGAGACACGGUCCAGACUCCUACGGGAGGCAGCAGUGGGGAAUAUUGCGCAAUGGGGGAAACCCUGACGCAGCCACGCCGCGUGAGUGAAGAAGGCCUUCGGGUCGUAAAGCUCUGUCGGGAGAGACGAAGGGGUAAAACCCUGACGGUAUCUCGCAAGAAAGCACCGGCUAACUCUGUGCCAGCAGCCGCGGUAAUACAGAGGGUGCAAGCGUUGCUCGGAUUUACUGGGCGUAAAGCGUACGCAGACGGACCAUCAAGUCGGGAGUGAAAGCCCUGGGCUCAACCCAGGAACGGCUUUCGAUAAUAGUGGUCUUGAGUUUGGGAGAGGGAAGCGGAAUUCCUGGUGUAGAGGUGAAAUUCGUAGAUAUCAGGAGGAACACCGGCGGCGAAGGCGGCUUCCUGGCCCAAUACUGACGUUCAGGUACGAAAGCGUGGGUAGCAAACAGGAUUAGAUACCCUGGUAGUCCACGCUGUAAACGAUGAGUGCUGGAUGUCGGAGGUAUUCACCCCUUCGGUAUCGAAGCUAACGCGUUAAGCACUCCGCCUGGGGAGUACGGCCGCAAGGUUGAAACUCAAAGGAAUUGACGGGGGCCCGCACAAGCGGUGGA